rnacentral:tmRNA from 1 species
GGGGAUGCUUGGUUUCGACAGGGGAGGAACGACGCGGAUCGCAAGCCGAGGCGCCCAGUCUCGUAAAAAGGGCACGGCAUUUAACUGCCAACAACAACAACCGGGCUUACGCUCCUCGCGUAGCCCUCGCUGCCUAAUUAGGUAGCGCGUUCACCCGUACUCACCCCUGCGGUGCGGGCUGAACGUCAACAGUGGGGGUGCUCCCGGCGCGACCGCCUGCUGACGCCGGGUUAAGAUUAGCGGACUUGCCCAAAGGCCACUUCGCUCGUUGUGAGGUCGAGGGCGAGCUAUAAACAGCGAGACAAGCUUGUAGCAUAUCUGCGGCCUACUUUUCUGGACGGGGGUUCGACUCCCCCCAUCUCCACCA